GAUGAACGCUGGCGGCGUGCCUAAUACAUGCAAGUCGAGCGAACGGACGAGAAGCUUGCUUCUCUGAUGUUAGCGGCGGACGGGUGAGUAACACGUGGAUAACCUACCUAUAAGACUGGGAUAACUUCGGGAAACCGGAGCUAAUACCGGAUGAUAUUUUGAACCGCAUGGUUCAAAAGUGAAAGACGGUCUUGCUGUCACUUAGAGAUGGAUCCGCGCUGCAUUAGCUAGUUGGUAAGGUAACGGCUUACCAAGGCAACGAUGCAUAGCCGACCUGAGAGGGUGAUCGGCCACACUGGAACUGAGACACGGUCCAGACUCCUACGGGAGGCAGCAGUAGGGAAUCUUCCGCAAUGGGCGAAAGCCUGACGGAGCAACGCCGCGUGAGUGAUGAAGGUCUUCGGAUCGUAAAACUCUGUUAUUAGGGAAGAACAUAUGUGUAAGUAACUGUGCACAUCUUGACGGUACCUAAUCAGAAAGCCACGGCUAACUACGUG
rnacentral:rRNA from 1 species